AAACCAUGAUUGGGACAUUUUCUCAGUAGCAUCUGAAAAUGCUCCUAGGCUUCAUAGAAGGCUUCAUCUACGCCUUGCCUAAAAGUGGAUAUUUCAAAUUUGGCAU
rfam:Lupinus angustifolius cultivar Tanjil chromosome LG12, whole genome shotgun sequence.